GUUCUGGUGGCUUAGUGGUUAGGGCAUCCGCCUCGGAUGUGGGAGGUUAUGGGUUCGAUCCCUGGUUGAGUCAUAAUA